UACAGAGGGGGCAAGCGUUGUUCGGAAUUACUGGGCGUAAAGGGCGCGUAGGCGGCCCGCUAAGUCGAACGUGAAAUCCCCAGGCUCAACCUGGGAACUGCGUCCGAUACUGGCAGGCUUGAAUCCGGGAGAGGGAUGUGGAAUUCCAGGUGUAGCGGUGAAAUGCGUAGAGAUGUGGAGGAACACCGAUGGCGAAGGCAGCCCCCUGGGCUAACACUGACGCUCAUGCACGAAAGCGUGGGGAGCAAACAGG
rnacentral:rRNA from 1 species